ensembl:snRNA U2 U2 spliceosomal RNA
AUCACUUCUUGGCCUUUUGGCUAAGAUCAAGUGUAAUAUCUGUUCUUAUCAGUUAAAAAAAAAAUAGAGACACAUACUUAUUUUCAUUGGCUUAACCCAUUUUUGGCCAAAACUCACUGAUAGGAAUAAUUUAAUUUGCAAAGACCAACUAUAUUAAAUAGAUUGAUGAAAAGGGAACUAUU